GUUCCUCCACCAACAACCACUGCUACGCCACCAACAACCACUGUUCCCCCCCCAACAACCACUGCUCAGCCUCCAACAACAGUCGUUCCGCCCGUUUCAGCUACUCCGCCACCAGCAACACCGACUACACCUCCACCAGCAGUUACUCCAACUUCAUCACCACCAGCUCCAAAGGUUGCACCAGUAAUCAGUCCAGUAACUCCACCUCCACAACCACCACCAAGCCCGCCCGUUUCAGCUCCAACCGUCUCACCACCACCAGCUACACCACCACCUGCACCGGCCUCUCCUCCACCGGCGUCACCACCUGCACCAACUUCUCCACCACCAGCACCAGCCUCACCCCCUCCAGCGCUUACGCCAAUAACUCUACCACCAGCUCCAGCUCCUGCUAAGCACAAGAAAAAGCACAAACACAAGCGGCAUCACCAUGCCCCGGCUCCAGCACCAACUCCUCCAAGCCCUCCAUCUC
rnacentral:lncRNA from 1 species